GGGAUACCCGAGGGAAACUUCGGUUAAUACGGUAUAAGACCACACUACCGCAUGGUAGAGGGGUAAAAGGGGCAACCUGGUAUGAGAUGGACUCGCGUCGCAUUAGCUAGUUGGUGAGGUAACGGCCCACCAAGGCGACGAUGCGUAGCCGACCUGAGAGGGUGAUCGGCCACAUUGGGACUGAGAUACGGCCCAGACUCCUACGGGAGGCAGCAGUGGGGAAUAUUGGGCAAUGGAGGAAACUCUGACCCAGCAAUGCCGCGUGAAUGAAGAAGGUCUUCGGAUUGUAAAGUUCUUUAGUCAGGGAAGAAGUCAAUGACGGUACCUGAAGAAUAAGCUCCGGCUAACUACGUGCCAGCAGCCGCGGUAAUACGUAGGGAGCAAGCGUUGUUCGGAAUGACUGGGCGUAAAGGGUGCGUAGGCGGUUGUACAAGUUAGAAGUGAAAUACCCAGGGCUUAACUCGGGUGCUGCUUCUAAAACUGUAUGACUUGAGUGCAGUAGAGGUUAGUGGAAUUCCUAGUGUAGCGGUGGAAUGCGUAGAUAUUAGGAGGAACACCAGAGGCGAAGGCGGCUAACUGGACUGCAACUGACGCUGAGGCACGAAUGUGUGGGGAGCGAACAGGAUUAGAUACCCUGGUAGUCCACACUGUAAACGAUGGAUACUAGAUGUAGGAGGUAUCGACUCCUUCUGCGUCGCAG
rnacentral:rRNA from 1 species